rnacentral:tRNA from 1 species
CAGUAAGUAGUUUAUAAAAAAAUUUUAAUUUUGGAAAUUAAAGAAAUUCUUUUUUACUGA